GGGGGAUUAGCUCAGUUGGGAGAGCAUUUGGCUGGCAGCCAAAAGGUCGCAGGUUCGAGCCCUGUAUCCUCCA
rnacentral:tRNA from 1 species